CCUACGGGAGGCAGCAGUGAGGAAUAUUGGUCAAUGGACGCAAGCCUGAACCAGCCAAGCCGCGUGAAGGAAGACGGCUCUAUGAGUUGUAAACUGCUUUUGUACGAGGGUAAAGGCAGAUACGCGUACCUGUAUGAAAGUAUCGUACGAAUAAGGAUCGGCUAACUCCGUGCCAGCAGCCGCGGUAAUACGGAGGAUUCAAGCGUUAUCCGGAUUUAUUGGGUUUAAAGGGUGCGUAGGCGGUCGGAUAAGUUAGAGGUGAAAUCCCGAGGCUCAACUUCGGAAUUGCCUUUGAUACUGUUCGGCUAGAGUGUAGUUGCGGUAGGCGGAAUGUGUGGUGUAGCGGUGAAAUGCUUAGAGAUCAUACAGAACACCGAUUGCGAAGGCAGCUUACCAAGCUACUUCUGACGUUGAGGCACGAAAGCGUGGGGAGCAAACAGGAUUAGAUACCCGUGUAGUC
rnacentral:rRNA from 1 species